AGCCGCUGCGGUUUUCUUUUAUCUUUUUUGGUCCAGACCACUGUGGAUUAUAAUUGAUGAAUAGUAAAUAAAAAGUGGUAUGAUCGGAGGUUUUGUCCGCCGUAACCAUUCAAACCCUUAAUGUCUUGUUAUAGACAUUUUUGUUAUCUUUCUUCAUGUGUGUCUUUAAUCAAAUAUUAAAAAAUUAGGGAAGACACCUCCAUUUAUCACCACGGUGAUGCUUUGAGAGUCUCAAUCUCUGCUGAUGAUCAUAAAUGUAAUAUGAAUUAUUUAUGGUCCCAUCCCAU